AUGUGGUUGGUGCUGCUGUGAUGGGUGUUCUAGCAUCUCUACCAAGUCUGCACUAAAUGAAGAGCCAAUAGUCACCGUGCAUGAUUAGCCUCAUAUGUUAUAAAAAUGAAGGGAACUGGUGCAUUUUGCGGGAAAGCCAUUAAUUUGGAUUCAGUUUAUACUAGAGAUGGACCGCAAAGGCAUGAUCCAGAGAGAUGGUGGAAUGCCAGGAAACCUGAUAUUUUUUGUAAUGAAGCUCUGUGGCGCAAAGUCAUGAUCCAGAGAGAUAGUGGAAUGGCCAGGAAACCUGAUAUUUUUUAUAAUGAAGCUCUGUGGCGCUACCGUACACCUAUUCGCGUUCAUGAAGUUCUUGCUUCGCGAAGCCAUUAUCUACUUGUAGUCUUAACUUGGCAGUCGUAAUCUGCCAAUGCAUAUGUUCUGAGCCUUUAAUGCAAUAAUUAUGCACAUGAAAUGUAGCUGACAAGUAGAAAAUGAGUUGUCUUACUCUGAAGUCUUAAAAAGUUGGGCCAUCAUCUGUAGGUCGAAAAAUUAGUAUUGAUGAUCAUUGAAUUGCUAUCAAAGAAGUUGUUGCG